AGAAAUUGUCUUUUCGAUAUAUUAAGGAUUGUUACGAUACAGAGAAGAUUAGCAUGGCCCCUGCGCAAAGAGGACAUGCACAUAUAUGGGAGUGCGUUUAUAUAUUU
rfam:Octopus bimaculoides Scaffold1664_contig_171, whole genome shotgun sequence.